GAUGAACGCUGGCGGCGUGCCUAAUACAUGCAAGUCGAGCGAACGGACGAGAAGCUUGCUUCUCUGAUGUUAGCGGCGGACGGGUGAGUAACACGUGGAUAACCUACCUAUAAGACUGGGAUAACUUCGGGAAACCGGAGCUAAUACCGGAUAAUAUUUUGAACCGCAUGGUUCAAAAGUGAAAGACGGUCUUGCUGUCACUUAUAGAUGGAUCCGCGCUGCAUUAGCUAGUUGGUAAGGUAACGGCUUACCAAGGCAACGAUGCAUAGCCGACCUGAGAGGGUGAUCGGCCACACUGGAACUGAGACACGGUCCAGACUCCUACGGGAGGCAGCAGUAGGGAAUCUUCCGCAAUGGGCGAAAGCCUGACGGAGCAACGCCGCGUGAGUGAUGAAGGUCUUCGGAUCGUAAAACUCUGUUAUUAGGGAAGAACAUAUGUGUAAGUAACUGUGCACAUCUUGACGGUACCUAAUCAGAAAGCCACGGCUAACUACGUGCCAGCAGCCGCGGUAAUACGUAGGUGGCAAGCGUUAUCCGGAAUUAUUGGGCGUAAAGCGCGCGUAGGCGGUUUUUUAAGUCUGAUGUGAAAGCCCACGGCUCAACCGUGGAGGGUCAUUGGAAACUGGAAAACUUGAGUGCAGAAGAGGAAAGUGGAAUUCCAUGUGUAGCGGUGAAAUGCGCAGAGAUAUGGAGGAACACCAGUGGCGAAGGCGACUUUCUGGUCUGUAACUGACGCUGAUGUGCGAAAGCGUGGGGAUCAAACAGGAUUAGAUACCCUGGUAGUCCACGCCGUAAACGAUGAGUGCUAAGUGUUAGGGGGUUUCCGCCCCUUAGUGCUGCAGCUAACGCAUUAAGCACUCCGCCUGGGGAGUACGACCGCAAGGUUGAAACUCAAAGGAAUUGACGGGGACCCGCACAAGCGGUGGAGCAUGUGGUUUAAUUCGAAGCAACGCGAAGAACCUUACCAAAUCUUGACAUCCUUUGACAACUCUAGAGAUAGAGCUUUCCCCUUCGGGGGACAAAGUGACAGGUGGUGCAUGGUUGCCGUCAGCUCGUGUCGUGAGAUGUUGGGUUAAGUCCCGCAACGAGCGCAACCCUUAAGCUUAGUUGCCAUCAUUAAGUUGGGCACUCUAAGUUGACUGCCGGUGACAAACCGGAGGAAGGUGGGGAUGACGUCAAAUCAUCAUGCCCCUUAUGAUUUGGGCUACACACGUGCUACAAUGGACAAUACAAAGGGCAGCGAAACCGUGAGGUCAAGCAAAUCCCAUAAAGUUGUUCUCAGUUCGGAUUGUAGUCUGCAACUCGACUACAUGAAGCUGGAAUCGCUAGUAAUCGUAGAUCAGCAUGCUACGGUGAAUACGUUCCCGGGUCU
rnacentral:rRNA from 1 species